AGCCAUAUUAAUUAGGGUUGGUAAAUCUCGUGCCAGCCACCGCGGUCAUACGAUUAACCCAAGUUAAUAGGCACACGGCGUAAAGCGUGUUAAAGCAUUCUAUAAAAUAAGGUUCAAUCCUAAUUAAGCUGUAAAAAGCCAUAAUUACAAUGAAAAUAGAUAACGAAAGUAACUUUAAAAUAGCUGAAACACGAUAGCUAAGACCCAAACUGGGAUUAGAUACCCCACU
rnacentral:rRNA from 1 species